rnacentral:rRNA from 1 species
CCGAGUUUCACUCCCAACCCCUGUGAACAUACCUAUACGUUGCCUCGGCGGAUCAGCCCGCGCCCCGUAAAACGGGACGGCCCGCCCGAGGACCCCUAAACUCUGUUUUUAGUGGAACUUCUGAGUAAAACAAACAAAUAAAUCAAAACUUUCAACAACGGAUCUCUUGGUUCUGGCAUCGAUGAAGAACGCAGCAAAAUGCGAUAAGUAAUGUGAAUUGCAGAAUUCAGUGAAUCAUCGAAUCUUUGAACGCACAUUGCGCCCGCCAGUAUUCUGGCGGGCAUGCCUGUUCGAGCGUCAUUUCAACCCUCAAGCUCAGCUUGGUGUUGGGACUCGCGGUAACCCGCGUUCCCCAAAUCGAUUGGCGGUCACGUCGAGCUUCCAUAGCGUAGUAAUCAUACACCUCGUUACUGGUAAUCGUCGCGGCCACGCCGUAAAACCCCAACUUCUGAAUGUGACCUCGGAUCAGGUAGGAA